AACAAGAAUCCCAAAUUGAAAACCGAAGUGGCGAAGCGCAUUGAUCUGUUGUCCGAGUCCAUUUUAAAAAUUCAAAAUCACACUCUAAACGGUCACAUUUCUCUAGAAUAAUCCUAUUUAAAGCCCCUCCACUUCCAACUUCGUUAAAUCGCUUCAUUUCUUCAUUCUGAACAAAAUUUUUGUCUUCCUAUCGCCUUUGAUUUCCGUUCAAGGGGAGAGCUCCAAGCCCUUUGUAAGAGGAGUAAGAUUCCGGCUAAUACCACUAAUGUCGCCAUGGUCGACGCUCUUACCGAUCAAUCCGGGUGUUUGGUUGGUUUGAAUGCAAGAAACUUUUGCUGAGUACACGACCCAAACAACUUUCGGGCGGCCUUAGUUGAUGUGGCAUUUGCGCAAAGAGUGGUGUACUUUGAGCGAAAAAAAUUUGAGAAGCAGCAUGGGUGGACUGACAUGCCUAAAAAAUGGAACCCUGUGAUAAGGAAGAAUGGAACCAAUUAUUGUUCAUAUGUUGUUCGAUGAAAUGCCAGUUCAGAAUCUGUGAAGGAAAAUACAAACUGAGUCUAGGAAAACCAAUGAAUCAGAAAGCAAAUUAGAUAAAGAUUUGGGUGUAUAACUUGAUGAUGGAGAGAAUAAUGAGAUGGAGUCUGAAUUCAGAGGAGGAACCAGAAAUGGUUCUCGAUGAGCUGUUAAAAUCUAGUCACUGCAAAGAACGUUCAUGAUUCUAAAACAGAGGAUAAAAAGUAAAUGAAACUUCCAAAGAUGAUGCAUGAUUUCUGCCGAGGAUCGGAAAUCAAAGAUUGUUGUUGUAAAACCUCGUCACAGCUUUCCCUCUCAGUUGCUGUCGAUUAGAGAGCUCUUUCAUUCCUUAUUCAUAAGUCAAGUGGAAAGGAAUAGAUUGAAACUACUGAGCGAUGCCUUUCAGGUGUAGGGAACCUUUCCGCUUGGACCAGGAUUUUGAGUUUCAAGUGCAAGACGACUCUGGUCUUGUACAGAUUCCAGGAUGUAUAUAUUAUAUAUAUUUUAUUCCAAAUAUAUGUAUAUAACAAUAAAUAAUAUAAACUAACCGUUUCUCUAUUUAAUUUGAAAUUGGAAAUAGAGAUGAAGUGUUGAUCGGCAAUUGACCGCAACGGUAAUAUUUGGAUAUAUAAAAAGCCAUAAAAGGGGUAGGUCUUCGCUUAUGCUUCUAUUAGGAGGGUUUUCAUUAUUUUUUUUCCUCUCGAAUUCAACAUCACCAGGUUAGUCAGUUAUUUUUCUCCUCUUCUUCAAUUAAUUACAUAUAUCUCAUCGUCGUUUCUGCUUUAGUUAUUUUAAUCUGUGUCUUGUGGUUUUCAUAUGAACCUCCUUUCUAACUCUUUUUUCUUUGAUCGAUUUUUUACUUUUUUUUCUUCUUUGAUUGAUUAAUUAGGGUUGGAAGUUGGAACCAAAUGGUGCUGAACAAAUUAAGCAAACAUGAUUUUAAUUACAUUCAUUUUGGUUUGGGUAUCUAAUUUCAUCAUUUUGGGUAUCUAAUUUCAUCAAAUUAACAUUGGUCAUCUUCUUGGAUUUGAUACACAUGAGGGAUUUUCAAUCUGACCAGCUUCCCCUCAGGUUUUUCUAUUCCUUCCUUUUCUAUAUUUUUAAAUUUUUCUUGUUUGAUUUCUUGGAUAUGUUAUUUUUUUUCCUUUAUCAUUUAUUACGGAGAGUGUUCUUCUUAAAUUUGAGGUGAUUUAA